rnacentral:rRNA from 1 species
UAAUACGAAGGGGGCUAGCGUUGUUCGGAAUCACUGGGCGUAAAGCGCACGCAGGCGGAUUGAUAAGUCAGGGGUGAAAUCCCGGGGCUCAACCUCGGAAUUGCCUUUGAUACUGUCUGUCUUGAGUCCGGGAGAGGUGAGUGGAAUUCCUAGUGUAGAGGUGAAAUUCGUAGAUAUUAGG